GCCUAUAUAGCUGACCUGAUCCGAAAUACUCAUAUAAAAUGAGUAGGGUUUCUAAAAUUAGCUGAAAACUUGAGCUCCCACUUUCUCCGACUCCUAGACCAUGGACAUCAUCAUCAAUCGUCAGUUUCUUCUUCUCCAACUAUGGGUGAAAUCUUCAGUAUUUGUCCAGUGUUUUUUGGUGCUACUCGAUGGGUCUCAUGUUCUGACCCUUACUUCCUUUUUCAACUGGAAUAGGGGUGGAGAUAAUGGAAAUCUCAAACCCACUGAAUGUUGAAGAGAAACAAGUAACUCAGUUGUAUGAAUUUUAUCUGCCUUGGUGACCCCUGAUCCACUGAACUUCCUUUUUUGAUGGCUAGUGUAAAUAGGCAUCUUAGCAGUUUCACUUUUUUGUUCAAACUCCUUAAAGGUUGUAAAUAUGCUAAAUGCGAAAGACUAUGUUGUAGCCUUCCUAAUCCCCUUUAUCCUUUUGCUAGUGUUAGCCAGAGAUAUGGGCAUUGUUGCUUGUCGCUGUUAAAGACCUUCCUACCUGAUGUUGGCAAUUGACUAAAAUAUGUAAAUAGGAACUUCUUCUUGUCAAAUGCUAAAUUAGCUAAGUAAUUUGCAAGCUGAUUUCCUUCCCUGAA